AUCCAAAUACCAUAUUCAUAGAGUAUUUCCCAUGUGAUGAGAAAUCAAAAUAAUGAUCAGUUUAUAAUAAUUUGUCAUACAAUGCAUUUGCAAUAUUAUGAGAAAAUCAUUGAACCAGAAUUGUGACUUGCCAUUGAUAUAGCAAAUGAGUGGUCAGCCCCACAGAGUGAGUAGCAAGCUGUUUUAUUUAAUGCCAUUUCCUAUUAAUCUGCUGUAAAUAUUGGUAUUAUUGUUUAUCUGUGAUAAUAAGAUACACUUUUCAUAUUCAGACUUUUGUUUUGAUUUUAAAAGAAGUGUGAAUUAGUUGUUACACUUGUUUGAUUCAAGCUUAGAAUAAACUGCAAAAACACUU
rnacentral:misc_RNA from 1 species